GAGCAGGUGCGAAAGCAGGUCAUAGUGAUCCGGUGGUUCUGAAUGGAAGGGCCAUCGCUCAACGGAUAAAAGGUACUCCGGGGAUAACAGGCUGAUACCGCCCAAGAGUUCAUAUCGACGGCGGUGUUUGGCACCUCGAUGUCGGCUCAUCACAUCCUGGGGCUGAAGUAGGUCCCAAGGGUAUGGCUGUUCGCCAUUUAAAGUGGUACGCGAGCUGGGUUUAGAACGUCGUGAGACAGUUCGGUCCCUAUCUGCCGUGGGCGCUGGAGAACUGAGGGGGGCUGCUCCUAGUACGAGAGGACCGGAGUGGACGCAUCACUGGUGUUCGGGUUGUCAUGCCAAUGGCACUGCCCGGUAGCUAAAUGCGGAAGAGAUAAGUGCUGAAAGCAUCUAAGCACGAAACUUGCCCCGAGAUGAGUUCUCCCUGACUCCUUGAGAGUCCUGAAGGAACGUUGAAGACGACGACGUUGAUAGGCCGGGUGUGUAAGCGCAGCGAUGCGUUGAGCUAACCGGUACUAAUGAACCGUGAGG
rnacentral:rRNA from 1 species